rnacentral:rRNA from 1 species
AUUGAACGCUGGCGGCAGGCCUAACACAUGCAAGUCGAGCGAGCGGCGGACGGGUGAGAAAUGUCUGGGAAACUGCCUGAUGGAGGGGGAUAACUACUGGAAACGGUAGCUAAUACCGCAUACCAUCAGAAGUGCCCAGAUGGGAUUAGGUAGUAGGUGGGGUAACGGCUCACCUAGGCGACGAACCCGAUCUGGUCUGAGAGGAUGACUAGCCACACUGGAACUGAGAAACGGCCCAGCCUCCGACGGGAGGCAGCAGUGGGGAAUAUUGCACAAUGGGCGCAAGCCGGAUGCAGCCAUGCCGCGUGUGUGAAGAAGUCCUUCGGGUUGUAAAGCACUUUCAGCGGGGAGGCGUUACCCGCAGAAGAAGCACCGGCUAACUCCGUGCCAGCAGCCGCGGUAAUUC